UACGUAGGGUGCGAGCGUUGUCCGGAAUUACUGGGCGUAAAGAGCUCGUAGGUGGUUUGUCGCGUUGUUCGUGAAAACUCACAACUCAAUUGUGGGCGUGCGGCGAUACGGGCAGACUGGAGUACUGCAGGGGAGACUGGAAUUACGGUGUAGCGGUGAAAUGCGUAGAUAUCGUAAGGAAGACCAGUGGCGAAGGCGGAUCUCUGGACAGUUCCUGACGCUGAGGCACGAAGGCCAGGGGAGCAAACGGG
rnacentral:rRNA from 1 species